rnacentral:rRNA from 1 species
AGUGAACGCUGGCGGCGUGCCUAAUACAUGCAAGUCGAACGAUGAAGUCCUAGCUUGCUAGGAUGGAUUAGUGGCGCACGGGUGAGUAAUAUAUAGUUAAUCUGCCCUACACAGAGGAACAACAGUUGGAAACGACUGCUAAUACCUCAUACUCCUAUUUGACAUAAGUUAAAUAGGGAAAGUCUUUUCGGUGUAGGAUGAGACUAUAUCGUAUCAGCUAGUUGGUAAGGUAAUGGCUUACCAAGGCUAUGACGCGUAACUGGUCUGAGAGGAUGAUCAGUCACAUUGGAACUGAGACAAGGUCCAAACUCCUACGGGAAGCAGCAGUAAGGAAUAUUGCGCAAUGGGGGAAACCCUGACGCAGCAACGCCGCGUGGAGGAGGACACUUUUCGGAGCGUAAACUACUUUUAUAAGGAAAGAAUAAUGACGGUACCUGAUGAAUAAGCACCGGAUAACUCCGUG